GUUUCGAUUUAACAAGACCAUGUCAAUGUUUCGAUUUAGCGAGACCAAGUCAGUGUUUCGAUUUAUCGAAACCAUCUUAGUGGCAUCUAACAUAACCUAAAUCAACACAGUUUAGUAAAAAAUAAUAUUCUAUUCAACUUAGCAUUAUACACAUAAAUAGAAAAUAUAUAAAGCACAAUGUAUUUAGCUGAAAACUAUUAUGCUCAAUAUCAAAAUGAUACAUAUCUAAAUAAAUUCACAAACAAACUAUUAAAUAAGACUCACCCCUUAAUGAAAUAUAAGCUUAUAUGCUAUUAGAUAGAGUAAUAUAAUGAAAGGGCAGUAGGUUAGUAGGGCACAUUUAAGUUUUGUACUGCAUUGCUCCUCAAAAUGUAAGACUGUAAAGCUGGAUGAAUGUAAAAUAUCACAUUUAUUACCAUUUAAACUGCAAAUGGUGAUGUAGAUUAGUUGUGCCGAGCUCUGCACUUAUUACAUUACUCUGUCCAGUACAAGGUGACUUUACAGUGUUCUUUUUCUAUAUAAACAUAACUAAUAUGUUCUUCAACAAUGAUUUCAUCGUCUAGCAUGUAGUUUCAGCAUAUAUUUUCUUUUCCUUAUGCAAGUCAAAGGCUACAAGAAAUAUACAACCUGGCAAACAUCUACCCAAGGUCCAUUUUUAUCAGCCAAUGAAAAGACCAUUUCUUGCCGAUGAUUCCUUUACGAUAAUGAAUCUUGAAUGAAGAUCAUCUAGCGUUACCAAUGACUGAUUUGUUAUAUAUAGCCCUCUAAAUUUGAAAAAGCAAAAGAUUGCUCAUCAACAUAUUACAACAUACUUAUUAAUGAAUGAUGAUUAUGGGUCAAAUUAGACACAUUUAUAACAGUGUCUUGUAUAUCCUGGCCUACACAGGGGCGGAUCCAGACCGAUGCCAGCGAUGCGAAUGCAUCGGUCAAAAUUGAGAAAUCAUGAUUCAUGUGCUUGAAAUAUAUAGCUAUAUAAUUCGCCAAUAGUCAAAGCACACAGUAAUAAAAUAUUUCCUGUCAACCCGCAAAUCUUUGCUUAAAAUUGACUCCAUGUCAGGAAUACACUAUUUAGGAUGAAAUCCAAUUUAAAUAGUCUCAAUAACAGUCGAAAUUGUCAAA